GGAGCGUUAGUUAAGUUGGUUAUAACGUCCGCCUGUCACGCGGAAGGCCGCGGGUUCGAGUCCCGCACGCUCCGCCA
rnacentral:tRNA from 1 species